rnacentral:rRNA from 1 species
GAUCAUCGAAUCUUUGAACGCACCUUGCGCUCCUUGGUAUUCCGAGGAGCAUGCCUGUUUGAGUGUCAUUAAUAUAUAUAUCAACCUUCUCUUGUUUGAGUGGUUGGAUGUGGGGGUUUGCUGGCUUCUUAAAAGGGUUCAGCUCCUCUGAAAUGCAUUAGCAGAACAACCUGUUCAUUGGUGUGAUAACUAUCUACGCUAUUGAAUAUCAGGGGCAGUUCAGCUUUCUAACAGUCCUUGGACAAUUUUAUCAUUUAUGUGACCUCAAAUCAGGUAGGACUACCCGCUGAACUUAAGCAUAUCAAUAAGCGGAGG